rnacentral:pre_miRNA from 1 species
AUUUUACUCCCUCCGUUCCAAAAUACUUGACUUUCAUUUGUCCAAAAAUGGAUGUACCUAUAUACUAAAACAUGUCUAGAUACAUCUAUAUUUUGACAAAUAGAAGGCAUGUAUUGUGGAACGGAGGGAGUAGGAU